rnacentral:rRNA from 1 species
GACGAACGCUGGCGGCGUGCUUAACACAUGCAAGUCGAACGAUGAAGAAAAGAAUCGAAGCUUCGGCAGAAAUUCAUUUCGGAUUAGUGGCAGACGGGUGAGUAACGCGUGAGCAACCUACCUCUUACAAAGGGAUAGCCUCGGGAAACCGGGAUUAAUACCAUAUAACAUUGUGACGAAGCAUUUCGAUGCAAUCAAAGCUACGGCGGUAGGAGAUGGGCUCGCGUCCCAUUAACCGGAUGGUGAGGUAACGGCUCACCAUAGUGACGAUGGGUAACCGGCCUGAGAGGGUGAACGGUCACACUGGAACUGAGACACGGUCCAGACUCCUACGGGAGGCAGCAGUGGGGAAUAUUGCACAAUGGAGGGAACUCUGAUGCAGCGACGCCGCGUGAGUGAUGAAGGAAUUCGUUUCGUAAAACUCUGUUCUAUGGGAAGAAAAGGACUGUACCAUAGGAGAAAGCUCCGGCUAAAUACGUG